GACGGAUGAUACAAUAACUCAACUUCUGUCCGGGUUUCAUGCUGAAUGAAAGGUGAAUUCGUGUGCAAAGAGUUUUGAAAUUGAAAAAGAAUCGUAUGUCUCUACACUCUUACUCUUUGUUGGUGGUAACGCGUUACUGCGCAUCUCGUUACCAGCCUGCACUGUCCGGGAACUAGUUUUAAAUCGAAAAGCGAGAAGGCUACGUGCGCUCUCGUUCUGAAGGCUCUGGCUCGGCGAAGUCACAGACAGAAAACCUAUACGCGCCAUUGAAAGCAGGCACAGAAGUCUGUAUACGAUUCGGAACCCGUAGUUGUGUAAAGAAAUCCAAGUUAUCGAGCCGGGCUUUGUACAUGUUCCUCAACGCGCGCACGGGGCGCACCGACCUGUAGUAGCCUGAUCUUGGAUAGCCUAUCAAACCCGGGCACCGUCUAGCCUACUGUCUAUUUCACUUUGAAGGGAUGCUGGUCGUCCCAGACACGUGAGCUGAGCUGAUGAGACGAGUUUAUCGCGGAUUUGGAUGAGGGGUUUUCUGUGCGUUAAUGGCCACGCGUGCGAACUAGGCAAUGGUGCGCUCAGAUGGUUUUUUUUUUUUUUCUUUCUCUCUCUCGGUCGCUCUAUGUAUCUACCGCUCCGCCUCCCCCUUUUCGCAACAUUGACGCAACCAAAAAUACUGGAACAAAAGAAACAACUUCCUUGAAGCUUUGCUGAAACUGCACUUAGUCGGAGAAUGGAAGCUGGUUGUCAACUUGUCUGGAUGGAAAUGUCGAUGUGAGGGUGUCACCAGUGGCCGGCUGGCAGCGACAAAGAUGCAGUCGAUCACUCCGAAAGACAUCCAGGCUGUCGAGUGGUGAACCUCCUCUUGUCUGCUUUAGUAGUGGACGGAAGACUUCAAUCUGAAGAAAAAUAAAUAUGAUCAUCUGAAAUUUGUGUGGUAGAUAAUAGUCUGUAGCUCUCUGUGAACAUGUGGUUUGGACUAGAAGCCUGGAGGAUGAAGACUAAUAACACGGAAGAUGAAAGAGUUUGAAGUGGAGGGACUUGACUGCAGUUCUGGUGAUGCUGUAGCAGCACGGAAUGGUUUGUGGGUUACACUGAGAUGCAGACCAUACUGUGUUGCCGCAGUAAAGCCUGAAUAUACAACCUAGCGGUCACUUUGCUCUUCUUCCACAGGUUGAAGCUGACUUGUUUGCUAUUACUCUGGGAUUUAGUCUUGACUUUCUAAAGUAAUGGCACGUAGACAAUCGUUUGGCUGAUUUUGCCUUUCUCCUUUGCUGGUCGCCUUACUGUAGCAGCACGUAAAUAUUGGAGUUAAGACUAGCUGAAGCCUCCAGUAUUGAUCGUGCUGCUGAAGCAAAGCUGACCGCUCACAAUCAGUGCAACCAACCACUACUCAGACAACCCUGGUCGUGCCAAACUGACUGACAGUGAGCGAGUUCUUGAGAGACACAGCCUGGUGAAUAUUUCACACGGGGCCCUGUUAUGCAACGUUUGUAACCUUGAAGAGGAUGCAGCAUCACUGUGGUGCGGACGCGCUCUGCAGGGAAGAGGCCAGGAAUUACACUGUUCACUUCUUUUUAUUACACUUGCUUGGUUCACAGGCUCGCUUGUACCCCUGUGAUUUGCCAUU